UUUCUACAGGCUUAACACAUGCAAGUUGAGGGGCAGCAUGGUCUUAGCUUGCUAAGGCCGAUGGCGACCGGCGCACGGGUGAGUAACACGUAUCCAACCUGCCGUCUACUCUUGGACAGCCUUCUGAAAGGAAGAUUAAUACAAGAUGGCAUCAUGAGUCCGCAUGUUCACAUGAUUAAAGGUAUUCCGGUAGACGAUGGGGAUGCGUUCCAUUAGAUAGUAGGCGGGGUAACGGCCCACCUAGUCUUCGAUGGAUAGGGGUUCUGAGAGGAAGGUCCCCCACAUUGGAACUGAGACACGGUCCAAACUCCUACGGGAGGCAGCAGUGAGGAAUAUUGGUCAAUGGGCGAGAGCCUGAACCAGCCAAGUAGCGUGAAGGAUGACUGCCCUAUGGGUUGUAAACUUCUUUUAUAAAGGAAUAAAGUCGGGUAUGCAUACCCGUUUGCAUGUACUUUAUGAAUAAGGAUCGGCUAACUCCGUGCCAGCAGCCGCGGUAAUACGGAGGAUCCGAGCGUUAUCCGGAUUUAUUGGGUUUAAAGGGAGCGUAGAUGGAUGUUUAAGUCAGUUGUGAAAGUUUGCGGCUCAACCGUAAAAUUGCAGUUGAUACUGGAUAUCUUGAGUGCAGUUGAGGCAGGCGGAGUUCGUGGUGUAGCGGUGAAAUGCUUAGAUAUCACGAAGAACUCCGAUUGCGAAGGCAGCCUGCUAAGCUGCAACUGACAUUGAGGCUCGAAAGUGUGGGUAUCAAACAGGAUUAGAUACCCUGGUAGUCCACACGGUAAACGAUGAAUACUCGCUGUUUGCGAUAUACGGCAAGCGGCCAAGCGAAAGCGUUAAGUAUUCCACCUGGGGAGUACGCCGGCAACGGUGAAACUCAAAGGAAUUGACGGGGGCCCGCACAAGCGGAGGAACAUGUGGUUUAAUUCGAUGAUACGCGAGGAACCUUACCCGGGCUUAAAUUGCAGAUGAAUUACGGUGAAAGCCGUAAGCCGCAAGGCAUCUGUGAAGGUGCUGCAUGGUUGUCGUUAGCUCGUGCCGUGAGGUGUCGGCUUAAGUGCCAUAACGAGCGCAACCCUUGUUGUCAGUUACUAACAGGUCAUGCUGAGGACUCUGACAAGACUGCCAUCGUAAGAUGUGAGGAAGGUGGGGAUGACGUCAAAUCAGCACGGCCCUUACGUCCGGGGCUACACACGUGUUACAAUGGGGGGUACAGAGGGCCGCUACCACGCGAGUGGAUGCCAAUCCCAAAAACCUCUCUCAGUUCGGACUGGAGUCUGCAACCCGACUCCACGAAGCUGGAUUCGCUAGUAAUCGCGCAUCAGCCACGGCGCGGUGAAUACGUUCCCGGGCCUUGUACACACCGCCCGUCAAGCCAUGGGAGCCGGGGGUACCUGAAGUGCGUAACCGCGAGGAGCGCCCUAGGGUAAAACUGGUGACUGG
rnacentral:rRNA from 1 species